UGUUAAAAAAUCUAUCCAUUUGUAUUGUUAAAAAUUGAUGUGGUUAACGGAAUAAUAAAACAGCUAAAACGUGGUAUGUUACAUGUAUCUUAUGUUGACGUAAAGGGACUGGUUCUUAAUAGUAUAAAUAAAUGAAAUUUUUAAUA
rfam:Gossypium arboreum cultivar AKA8401 contig_922_5, whole genome shotgun sequence.